rnacentral:rRNA from 1 species
UACGAAGGGGGCUAGCGUUGUUCGGAAUUACUGGGCGUAAAGCGCGCGCAGGCGGCUCUUCAAGUCAGGGGUGAAAGCCCAGAGCUCAACUCUGGAACUGCCUUUGAGACUGAAGAGCUUGAGUACGGGAGAGGUGAGUGGAAUUCCCAGUGUAGAGGUGAAAUUCGUAGAUAUUGGGAAGAACACCGGUGGGCGAAGGCGGCUCACUGGCCCGUUACUGACGCUCAGGCGCGACAGCGUGGGGAUCAAACAGG